rnacentral:rRNA from 1 species
GACGAACGCUGGCGGCGUGCUUAACACAUGCAAGUGGAGCGACGAACCGAGGCUUGCCUCGGGGCAAAGCCGCGAACGGGUGAGUAACACGUGGGUAAUCUGCCCUGUUGAUUGGGACAACCCCGGGAAACCGGGGCUAAUACCAAAUGUGCUCUUUCCACAUCAGUGGAUCGAGGAAAGGAGGCUUCGGCUUCCGCAACGGGAUGAGCCCGCGGCCCAUUAGCUUGUUGGUGGGGUAAUGGCCUACCAAGGCCCCGAUGGGUAGCUGGUCUGGGAGGACGAUCAGCCACACUGGGACUGAGACACGGCCCAGACUCCUACGGGAGGCAGCAGUGGGGAAUCUUGCGCAAUGCGCGAAAGCGUGACGCAGCAACGCCGCGUGAGGGAAGACGGCCUUCGGGUUGUAAAGCUCUUUCAGCUGGGAAGAUAAUGACGGUACCAGCAGAAGAAGCCCCGGCUAACUCCGUGCCAGCCGCCGCCGUAACAC